AGAGUUGAUUAGUGGCUCGAGGACGAACGCUGGCGGCGUGCCUAACACAUGCAAGUCGAACGGACUGAUUCCCUCGGGGAUGAAAGUUAGUGGCGGACGGGUGAGUAACGCGUGAGUAACCUGCCUUUCAGAGGGGGAUAACGUUUGGAAACGAACGCUAAUACCGCAUAACGUACAGUUGUCGCAUGGCAGCAGUACCAAAGGAGCAAUCCGCUGGAAGAUGGACUCGCGUCUGAUUAGAUAGUUGGCGGGGUAACGGCCCACCAAGUCGACGAUCAGUAGCCGGACUGAGAGGUUGAACGGCCACAUUGGGACUGAGACACGGCCCAGACUCCUACGGGAGGCAGCAGUGAGGGAUAUUGCACAAUGGGCGCAAGCCUGAUGCAGCAACGCCGCGUGAAGGAUGACGGUUUCGGAUUGUAAACUUCUGUUCUUAGUGAUGAUAAUGACAUUAGCUAAGGAGAAAGCCACGGCUAACUACGUGCCAGCCGCCGC
rnacentral:rRNA from 1 species